rnacentral:rRNA from 1 species
UCUAAGUAUAACCUGCCAGACAGGGAAACUGCGUACGGCUCAUUACACCAGCCUUAAUUUACUUGACCUUGACAACCUACUUGGAUAACUGUGGUAAUUCUAGAGCUAAUACAUGCACCAAAGCUCCGAUCCUCGCGGAGAGGAGCGCAUUUGUUCGCCACAAAACCAAGCGAUCUGGGCGUCCAGUGCUGAACCAGAACAACUCAGCUGAUCGCACGGUCUUGUACCGGCGACGUGUCUUUCAAGUGUCUGCCUUAUCAACUUUCGAUGGUAGUGUACCUGACUACCAUGGUUGUGACGGGUAACGGAGGAUAAGGGUUCGACUCCGGAGAAGGGGCCUGAGAAAUGGCCACUACGUCUAAGGAUGGCAGCAGGCGCGCAAAUUACCCACUCUCAACGCGAGGAGGUAGUGACGAGAAAUAACGAGACCGUUCUCAUACGAGGCCGGUUAUUGGAAUGGGUACAAUUUAAACCC